GUAUAGUCAAGCGGUUAAGACACCAGACUUUGACUCUGGUAUGCGUUGGUUCAAACCCAACUACCCCCGCCA
rnacentral:tRNA from 1 species